GUCUUCGUGGAGUACAGCGGAAAUCGCUCCCAAAAAUUAUGCACGCAUGAAUACCAGCUUAUACGUGGGAGAGUUGGUGGUUCGAAUCCACCCGAAGACA